AUUGAACGCUGGCGGCAGGCCUAACACAUGCAAGUCGAACGAGUGGCGGACGGGUGAGUAAUGUCUGGGAAAAUGCCUGACGGAGGGGGAUAACUACUGGAAACGGUAGCUAAUACCGCAUACCAUCAGAUGUGCGCAGAUGGGAUUAGCUAGUUGGUGGGUUAACGGCUCACCAAGGCGACGAUCCCUAGCUGGUCUGAGAGGAUGACCAGCCACACUGGAACUGAGACACGGUCCAGACUCCUACGGGAGGCAGCAGUAGGGAAUAUUCCACAAUGGGCGCAAGCCUGAUGCAGCCAUGCCGCGUGAAUGAAGAAGGCCUUCGGGUUGUAAAGUACUGUCAGCGGGGAGGCGUUACCCGCAGAAGAAGCACCGGCUAACUCCGUGCCAGCAGCCGCGGUAAUUC
rnacentral:rRNA from 1 species